GACCCCAUAGAGCUCCACAGUGACCCCAUAACAGCCCCAUAGUGACCCCAUAGAGCUCCAUAGUGACCCCAUAAAAGCCCCACAGAGACCCCAUAGAGCUCCAUAGUGACCUCAUAACAGCCCCAUAGUGACCCCAUCGAGCCCCAUAGGGACCCCAUAACAGCCCCAUAGCGACCCUAUAGAGCUUAAUAGAGCCCCACAGUGACCUCAUAGAGCCCCAUAGGGACCCCAUAACAGCCCCAUAGCGACCCUAUAGAGCUCAAUAGGGACCCCAUAUACCUCCACGGUGACCCCAUAGAGCCCCAUAGCGACCUCAUAGAGCUCCACAGUGACCCCAUAGAACCCCAUAGUGACCCCAUAACAGCCCCAUAGUGACCCCAUAGAACCCCAUAGUGACCCCAUAGAGCUCCAUAGGGAUAUGGGGAGGUUUGAGGUGGAAGGGUCCUGGAAGGUCACAGAGAUACGGACUGGUUGCUGUGGAAGGGUCCUGGAAGGUCACAGAGAUGUGGGGUGGUUGGGGCGGAAGGGUCCUGGAAGGUCACAGCAAUACGGGGUGGUGGGGCUGGAAGGGUCCUGGAAGGUCAUCACUGAAUGGGUUUUAUUGGAAGGGUCCUGGAAGGUCAUCACUGAAUGGAUGGGGUUGGAAAGGUCCUGGAAGGUCAUCACUGAACGGGUUGGACUGGAAGGGUCCUGGAAGGUCAUCACUGAAUGGAUGGGGUUGGAAAGGUCCUGGAAGGUCAUCACUGAACAGAUUUAAUUAGAAGGGUCCUGGAAGGUCAUGACUGAAUGAAUGGGAUUGGAAAGGUCCUGGAAGGUCAUCACUGAGCGGGUUGGACUGGAAGGGUCCUGGAAGGUCAUCACUGAACGGGUUUUAUUGGAAGGGUCCUGGAAGGUCACCACUGAGUGGGUUUUAUUGGAAAGGUCCUGGAAGGUCUCUGGGAGAGGGACGGCGGCGCGCCGUGACGCCUCCCAUUGGCGCGCUCCUACCGGAAGUCCCGCCCCCCGCGCAUGCGCAGUGGGAUCCGCGGCGCGCCUGUGAGAUCGGGCGGUUCCGGGAGGAGCGGUGAGAGCGCAGUUGUGGGGCUGAGGCCCUCCCGGAGGUGCCGCUAUGGGGCUGCUGUCCGACCCACAGUGCCGCCGUCUGCUCAGCCGCCUCCUGCAGCGCUUCAAUGUGCCCCUAUGGUGCGUCACGGCCCCAUACGGCCCUAUAUGGCCCCAUAGAGCCCCAUAAGGCCCUGUGUGGCCCCAUAUGGCCUCAUAUGGCCCCAUAGAGCCCCAUACGGCCCCAUAUAGCCUCAUAUGGCCUUAUAUAGCCCCAUAUAGUCCCAUUUGGCCUCAUACGGCCCCAUAUAGCGUCAUAUGGCCCCAUUUGGCCCCAUAUAGUCCUAUAUGGCCCCAUAUAGCACCAUACAGUCCCAUAUGGCCUCAUAUGGCCCCAUUUGGCCCUAUAUAGUCCUAUAUGGCCCCAUAUAGCCCAUAUGGCCCCAUAUAGCCCCAUACGGCCCCAUAUAGCCUCAUAUGGCCCCAUUUGGCCCCAUAUAGUCCCAUCUGGCCCCAUACGGCCCCAUUUGGGCCCAUAUAGUCCUAUAUGGCCCCAUAGAGCCCCAUACGGCCCCAUAUAGCCUCAUAUGGCCUUAUAUAGCCCCAUAUAGUCCUAUUUGGCCCCAUAUGGCCCCAUUUGGCCUCAUACGGCCCCAUAUAGCGUCAUAUGGCCCCAUUUGGCCCCAUAUAGUCCUAUAUGGCCCCAUAUAGCACCAUACAGUCCCAUAUGGCCUCAUAUGGCCCCAUUUGGCCCUAUAUAGUCCUAUAUGGCCCCAUAUAGCCCAUACGGCCCCAUAUAGCCUCAUAUGGCCCCAUUUGGCCCCAUACGGCCCCAUUUGGCCCCAUAUGGCCUCAUACGGCCCCAUUUGGGCCCAUAUAGUCCUAUAUGGCCGCAUAUAGCCCCAUACAGUCCCAUAUGGCUCCGUAUGGCCCCAUAUGGCCCCAUUUGGCCCCAUACAGCCCCAUAUAGCCCCAUACAGUCCCAUGCGGCCCCAUAUGGCUCCAUGCGGCCCCAUAUGGCUCCAUACGGCCUCAUAUGGCCCCAUAUAGCCUCAUAUGGCCCCAUUUGGCCCCAUUUGGCCCCAUAUAGCCCCAUACAGCCCCAUAUGAACCAAUGUAGCCCCAAUAAAGCCCCAUAAGGCCCUAUACGAACCUGUAUAGCCCCAUAUGGCCCCAUAUAGCCCCAUACAGUCCCAUAUGGCUCCGUACAGCCCAAUAUGGCCCCAUAUGGCUCCGUACAGCCCUAUAUGGCCACAUAGAGCCCCAUAAGGCCCUGUAUGGCCCCAUAUGGCCUCAUGUGGCCCCAUAGAGCCCCAUACGGCCCCAUAUAGCCUCAUAUGGCCCCAUUUGGCCUUAUAUAGCCCCAUAUAGUCCUAUAUGGCCCCAUAUAGCACCAUACAGUCCCAUACAGUCCCAUAUGGCUCCGUAUGGCCCCAUAUGGCCUCAUAUGGCCCCUUUUGUCCCCAUAUAGUCCUACAUGGCCCCAUAUAGCCCCAUACAGCCUCAUACGGCCCGAUUUAGCCCCAUAUAGUCCUAUAUGGCCGCAUAUAGCCCCAUACAAUCCCAUAUAGCCCCAUAUAGUCCCAUCUGGCCCCAUACGGCCCCAUUUGGCCCCAUAUGGCCUCAUACGGCCCCAUUUGGGCCCAUAUAGUCCUAUAUGGCCGCAUAUAGCCCCAUACAGUCCCAUAUGGCUCCGUAUGGCCCCAUAUGGCCCCAUACAGCCCCAUAUAGCCCCAUACAGUCCCAUGCGGCCUCAUAUGGCCCCAUUUGGCCCCAUAUAGCCCCAUACAGCCCCAUAUGAACCAAUGUAGCCCCAAUAAAGCCCCAUAAGGCCCUAUACGAACCUGUAUAGCCCCAUAUGGCCCCAUAUAGCCCCAUACAGUCCCAUAUGGCUCCGUACAGCCCAAUAUGGCCCCAUAUGGCUCCGUACAGCCCUAUAUGGCCCCAUAGAGCCCCAUACAGCCCUGUAUGGCCCCAUAUGGCCUCAUAUGGCCCUAUUUGUCCCCAUAUGGCCCCAUAUAGCCUCAUAUGGCCCCAUAUGGCCUUAUAUAGCACCAUAUAGUCCUAUAUGGCCCCAUAUAGCACCAUACAGUCCCAUACGGCCCCAUGCGGCCCCAUAUGGCCCCAUACGGCCCCAUAUGGCCCCAUAUAGCCUCAUAUGGCCCCAUUUGGCCCCAUACGAACCCAUAUGGCCCCACAUGGUCCCAUACAGCCCCAUACGACCCCAUUUGGUCUCAUAUGGCCAAUACGGCCCCAUACAGCCCCAUAAGGCCCCAUGCAGUCCCAUACGGCCCCAUAAGGCCCCAUACAAACCCAUA
ensembl:lncRNA